AUAUAAUCCCAUAUAUGUAAAAAACAUAUAUUCAUAAAUGUAUAUAUUUUUGCCGCCAUAUAUUUAUCACAUAUUCACCAUAUAUAUUUUUAUAUAUUUUCAACAAGAUAAGAUAAGAUAAGAUAAGAUUUUUAUUGCUUAAAGAGUACAUACAGAACCCAUUGCAAGGGGAUACAAAAUUUUGAUGCAUUUAAAACAAAUCGCUUUCUGUCGGUCAAAAAGAAACAUAUAUAACAUAUAAUGAGAUAGAAUAAUAAUAAUAUAAUUGUAUAAAGCAAAAACAAAAAAAAACUAAAAUUUUUAUUUACAUAAGCAGAAGGCUCUGGUUUGGCAGCUAUAAGCAGUAUAGUAAUAUAUAUCUUUAAUCACUUUGGUUUCUUCACAGUUUAAAAUCUCAUUUAAAGCUCAGAUGCUACCCGCUGGAGAGAUAAGGUUGUGCUCACGGAAAUUUUUAAAAAUAGGGCAUUUCAACAAGAAAUGUUCGAUCGUAUCCUGCUCAUGGAGGAGAUACAUAGGAGUCGCUAAAGUGUAUACACGUUGUCUGUCUGUCGGGAACUUUUUAUCGCUAGAAAAUCAACAAUCACGUUCUAUUAAUUAUUAAAAGAGAAACUACGGGUAUCUUUAAUAGUGUUUUAUCAGUACAAAUAGUGAAAAAGGUGCUAGUACAUAGAAUUUGUUGAAUAUUACACAAAAAAUGAAUUCAAGAGUGAUUGAAGGUUAGGGUGAGCGGAAUGCAUGAUAGCUCCAAAUCUAAUGGGUCCGCGCAUAAAGGUGCUGCCACCUCGAACCGAAUCACAAAAAAUGCAAGCCAAAAGCCUUGCUCAGACGGCCAAGACAUAUGUGGACUUAAAGUAAAAAGUAAUCCAGGUAGACCUUUGAAAGCCUUGACGUUCACCCAGGAAAAAGCUGGUUCAGCUUGUGAUCUGAGGGAAUACUGCAAACGCAAGCGUGACGAACAGGAUCUAAAUAACUCCAUAUCGGAUCUGGAGGAAAAUCUCCAAACUUUCAAGAAGUCGUCUAAAUCACUUCGUACACCAUCCUCAGUUAAGUACAACUCUAUUACUAAUUCUGAUCCGCCCUUGUCUACCGACAGUAUUGCACUCUGUAUUUCAGAAAAUUUGUCACAAACCUCCAGCAUGGAACAAGUUGCUGAAAUGAGAAAGGAGGCCGCCACUAACAAAGCUAGCAUCGAGAAACAAAUCCUAUUAAGUAAAACAGAAAAUCAAAUAAUCAUUGAGCAAUUAAGAACAGACCUGAGAAAGUCGGAGAAUGCUUGGGACCUAAAAUGGACAGCAUUGCAGAAUAAACAGGAAAACCUGAAGGCUGAGAUCUCCUCGCUUAAAUUGCAGAUAAAUAGUAGGACAAUAGACCUGGACUCAGAUGGCAAUAAUGAAAAUUUAGUAUCUUCCAGCCUCAAGAAACACUUAGACAGAUCUAAUGAUAGAAUUAAGCAAAUGGAGGAGGCCUUAAGUGCGCAGGAAAAAAUACAAAAGCGCUGCAAUAUAAUUUUGAAAAAUCAUAAUCUCAUCAUGUCCAAUAUUAAAGAGCAGAGUCAAAGUUCCAUCAAGCAACAUUUCAACCUCGAUGAUGCAGUUGAUAGUGUUGCACCUGCUGAUAGAGAAGGGAAAUUCCUCAGAAUCAAGCUAAUAAAUCAGAAGGUUAAAGAAAUAAUAAUGAAAGCCAAAGCAGCUGCAUUAAAGGACACUAAAAUUUCAAUACAGCACGAUCUAACAAAGCAGGAAAUGGCAUGUGUUAAAAAGCUAAAAGAGGCAGUAACUCAGCAUAAAGCCAGGGGUCACUUGGUAAAAAUGCACGGCACACGAGUAAACAUACAGUGAAACCUGGAUAAGUUAGAAACCUCAAUAAGUGAGACUUUUUUCUCAGGUCCCGGUACCUCUGCACUGAAAAACCUCUUUAAGUGACAGUGAUGAACCUCUAUAAGUGAGACAUUUUUCAGGACUUACUAGUUUUUUUCUCUCAUAUUUAAAGCUAUUUAUCCCAUUGUAUUGGCAACAUUCUUUUAGUAUGCGUUCAUUAAUGCGUAUUUAGUAUUCGUCACCUGUUUAUUUGCAAAUUACUUUAUCUUUUCUCUCUAUUAUGGCAUUUCGAAUCCAUUCAUUUUUCUUCAGUCAUUCAGUAUCAUUCAUUAGUCUGAGCCAAAAUGUCGAGAAGAAAAUUACAUUGUCUAUAUACAAAUCUGACGCGGAAAAAGCGUUGUGGACAUUGCAUAAAUAUUUUGAAUUUUCUAAUAUUAAUGAUAAAACUAUUUUUGAUAAAUUAUUUGUUAUUGAAAAAUUGUUGACUGCUGAUUGUAACUUAAAGCAAACUAAAAUGACUAAAUUUUAUAAGUGAAUUACUGUAUUUCAUUAUACAGUAUAGUAAUGUAUAUUCUCUAUUUCUAUUUAUUAUUCUCUGAACUUGUCUAUCUCAGUUUCCCUCUCUGUGUGAGAAACUCGGGUAAGUGAGAAACCUCUAUAAGUGAGAAAAAAAUCUUAGUCCCUUCAAGUUUCACUUAUAUAGGUUUUACUGUAGAUAAUAAGUGGUACACCUGGGAUCUAGCAAACGAUAAAUUAGAAAAUUUAGGAAAACGCAUAACUCCGGAAACCCCAGGCACUUUCUCCGCUGCUACUCGCAUGGAGAUGCUUAUAGUGCAACUAAAAAACUAAUAAAAAUCUUAGCAUGGAACUCGAGGGGAAUCCAAAAUCUUCUCAACUAUAACUUUAGUAUUAAAGCAGAUAUAGUUUGUGCAUGUGAAACGUGGGCAACGUCGCCUCUUAAACUACCUAAUUUCUGGUCUAGAUACUCGGAACUGUGGACUCCUGCCAUCAAAGAGAAAAGCACUGGACACGCAAGCGGUGGAUUAGUUAUUCUCACAGCUCAGCAUAUUAAAGCCACCAUGUUAAAAUCCUCAGAUAUUUGGAUAUUUGCUCUUAUUGAAACAGGAAAAUUUUCAUGUGUUCUGGCCUGUGUAUACAUUCGUCCAAGUUGAGACAUGAAUGCUUCUUUAAACUUUCUCAAAUUAGCUUUAGAUGAAGUAACAGCAUCUCAUGGGCACCUGCCGAUAUAUUUAGCUGGUGACUAUAAUGCCAAGAUAGGAAAUCGUACCACGGUACACGAAGAAUUUAUAGCUGAUUGUAACCUCCAGGCCAGCAGGGAUUCGAGGGACCUUGUAAUUAACUCAAGAGGACGCACACUAGUCGACUUCAUGACUGAUAAUAGUCUGGUACUCAUCAACGGCCGAUCGAACAGUGAUCGACCGAGCAAUUUCACUUGCAUACACCUCAGCCGAAGCACAAUUGACUUUAUCUGGGCUAGUAUAAGUGCCUUACAUUUAAUUUAUGAUAUGGAAGUGCUGCAAGAGGACUCUUCUUCAGAUCAUAUCCCUAUACUUCUCCAACUGGACGUAGAAGCUCAAACAGAAUUGGACCAACCCGAUACCCGACUCAGCAGAACUACUUUAAUCUGGUCCAAACAUACUGAGCAAUCCUAUACUAGCUACAUGAGAUGGUCGCAGAAAAUCGCAGUAGACUUUGAAAGUACGCCACUAAACGAGCUCAAUGAAAAUUGCUACGAUGCUAUUAUGGAGGCAGCGGAAACCUUGAAUCUCAUCAAAACUCGUAAUAAAUGUCACAAUCAGCGCAGUAAUACUUCCUGGUAUGACGAGGAGUGCAAGCUUGGGAAAAAAAAUUUUAAUAUUUUUAUCAAUAUAUAGCUUUUCCAUACAGGCAUAGAUGGAGUCUGAUUUUUCUCCCGAAGUUAGAUUUAAUUUAAAUACUGAUAAACGUGAUUCCCGAUAUAAAAAAUCAUUUAUAAUUUUUUUAUCUGUACUUUUUUUCGUUAACUUUAUCUAACAAUUAAUAAUAUCUUAGGAGUGUUGAAAAAAUUUUUUCAGUUUUGUGUUCAACAGUACUUCUUCUACUGAACAACAACAUUCCUUGUUGAAAUAAAAUUUAUUUCUAACUCAAAUUUUGCUAAAUUAUGUUAGAGAGAACAAAGAUCUCCGUCUGUCCAAUUUUUGGUGUUCUUCAAAAAUUCAAGCCCGUAUGUUUACCAACUUAUAAAGAUUUUUUAAUUUAUUUUUCAUUGAUUAAAUUUGAUCUACGUUGUUCUUCAUCUAAAAAAUCAAACACUGGAGAAAUUCUGAAAAUCGUACUCGAAGACUUGAAAGUUAUAUGGGCGGGAGUUCCAAUACCGAUUGUUUCAGAUCCGAGAAUUCUGUCAUUAAUGAAAGUUUCUGUCGGGAAAUAUGAAAACAUAAAAAGGCCUCAGAAAAUCCCGUAAGACCAUGGAAUACGAAAACAAAAAGAGUGGGUAUUUAUUACAUGCAAAAAGAAUCUCUUAGAUAUUGCAAAGUGUAAAUGUUUGUCUUUAGUGAAACGUGUUUGUGACAUUGUUAAAUUACCCAAUUCUACGUAUGACUUUUUACAAAAUCAAAGAGGCACUAGAGCAUUAAAUUUAAUUGAUAUUUUCUCGUCAUCUUCAAGAGAAAGAAAACUGGAUGAGUGUAAUCCUGAUGAUGCUGAAAUAAUCUCGAUCCCUUCUACAUCAACUGAAGAUUUAAAUCAAUUAGAUUUGCGACAAAUUAGUACCUUAUCAAAUUCACUCUCUAUUUCUACUGUUGACGUGGAAGAUUCUUCCCAUUAAAAACCUGCUAAACAAAUAAGACUUGAAUUGCCAAAUUUUGCUAAAACUUGUGAUCGGACAGGUAUCUCUGAUAGAUACGGUGCAAUUUUGGCAAAUCGAUUCUAGAAGACUUUAAAAUAAGUGAUAAAAAUAAUUCCAAUAACAUUGUCGAUAAAUGUGAAAUCAGAAAAGAAUGUGAAAAAAGUCGCCGUAUUUUGCAAAACAGAACGAUAAAACAUAAAGCUCUAACAGGUUUAUAUUUACACAGAUAGUCGUAAAAAUAACACACUAACUAAUGAAAAAAUCGAUAUGAAGUUUUACAGAAGAAAAUCACUUGAAGAACACAUAGUAUUAAUUUCAGAGCCUUGUUCUACUUAUUUCUGUCAUGAAACUAACUCCUCUAUCUGGCUCUGCAGAAGACAAUAAAAAUAGGAUCUUUAAUUAUUUUAAACAAAAUGUAGAUUAUUCGAAAUUACGAGCUGUUGGAAGUGAUGGACCAGUGUUUACAACAAUGGUGCUAAAAAUGGAGUUAUUGUUCAAAUUGAAAGAGAUUUGGGAUGGCCGGUUAAUUGGUUUCUUGUCUAUUUCAUUUCAAUGAACUGCGACUUCGGAAUCUUAUUCUGAAUCUAGAUGGCGUUAAGGCAGGGCCUAAUGAGUGAACUGGACCUAUAGGUAAAGAACUAAAAACGUUUGAAAAAAAACCUGUGACUAAAUUUGAAAGAAUUGAAUUUGAUCUUUCUCCAUUAGACAUCAAAGAUUUAAGUAAAGAUAAAAAAUACCUAUAUGAAAUGUUUGUAGGAAUUCCAAACGGAAAAAAAACUUCAGAUUUAUCUCGAUGGAAGAUGAGAGACAAAUAAUUCGAGAAAAAGCUGUAAAUUUGAUCCUACAAACAAGACAAAAAAAUAUUUCUUCAACGGAAGUGCGUUCUUUUAAUGUUCCUCAUUUAGACAUGAAUGCAAUAGAUAAUGUGGAUAUGAUAGAUUAGGCAAAGAUUUAAAUUACUGAACCACUUCUAAUAAAAGAUUUAAAUGAACAUAACUUGAGAAAAAUCAUCGAAAAUGGCUUGAAAUUUUAUAUUUCGGAAUAUUUUUGUUAUAAUCAAUAUCUAGAAAGGUCAAUUUAAAUACUGAGGCGUCAUCAAAAGUUUGCAGUUUAACUUCACGAGAUGGCUUCAUCAGGGCAACAUUACAGUCACGCAAAGAAUUACCCAAAUUCGAGACAAAAAAAGAUUACUAAGUGAAGUUGACGAUAACUGAAGACAAUAACAACAACAUUGAGUAGAAUUCCGGUGUAUUGUGAUUGCUAUUUUAAACAAUAUACAUGUGUUUCUUAAUUUAUUAGUCAGGUUACUUCAUUUUCUUUAUUUGUACUUUCAAUUUAAUAUUAUUGAAUUUUUAUUAUUGUUAACAUUGUGUUGAUAUUGUUCAUAAAUUAAUUUUGUUGUUAUUGAUUAAUUAUAAAUAAAAAAAACGUUAAAAACUCUACAAUUAUAUUACAAAUUCUCAUAAAAUUUUGGAUUAAACAUUUUCAGAGUUAUUGAUUAACUUCUCUCUUAUCAAUAACUUGAAAACAGGUGGUAGUAAAAAAUAUAUAAAUAGUGUUCUAGAAUCUGUAGGGUGUCCCCUCGAAAACCAAUUGAAAGUCAGAAAUUGAAAAAAUUCGUUGCUGUUCAUUUCCUGAGGUAUUUCACCACCAAAGAUUGGGCCUACAUCGUUGCUCCGACGUUUGCUGCCUACGCUUAUUGAGAGUCAUUUUCCACCUACAACUGCAGGGAUGAAACACGUAGUAAGGUACAUCGCAAGUGGGAUUCCGUUGUCCCCAAUCUAAAAUUAUACUUGGUCUCCUCCUGCGUGGAAUAUUUAUUUAAUACUUGAUUGCUAUAAAUUUAAUUCAAAUUAAUCCUAUUUGGGAAACUUUCAUAUUGUAAGAAUAGGUAUUUGGUUCAACAAAUAUAACAUUUCCCUUUGAUAAUGUAAAACAAAAUCUUUUACUUAAUAUGCCACCGGCUUCUUUCCUUUCAUAAUUAACAAGCGCAUAUUUCCGGGGAACGAGGCCACCCCCCCCCUCCCCAGCUCACAAAAUAAAUUAAUUUAAGUUGAUUAUAAGUAACCUUAGUCCAGAACAAAAGCUAUUCCAGCGACUUGGCCACCGGUAAUAUUUUAUACGGUAAAAAUUCUAUCCCCAUGCUAAGAAAAAAAAAAAUUUUUUUUUCGACUCAUCCUAAUGUUUAUAUAUAUAUAUUUAACACCAAGACACGCAUUUACUGUUACUUUCUACGCUUUUGAAGUUCUAGUCUUUUAGAAUUUUAUGUAGAAUAACAUAUUUCAGCGGCAGCAAAGUCGGGGGUGAUUACCUGGCAUAUCUUCCAGUUAGAAUUGAAAAUAAAAAGGUAAAUAAAAUAUAAAAAAAUAAUAUUAUUAUCAUGUCCUCGCUGCUAAAAAUGUAUAAAAAAAUAAUUCUCAAUCAAUUAAAACCAAAGCUAAUAAAAACAUUGAUGUUUUCUUGUUGGUCAAUGCAGAUGGACUUAGGUGUUGUUCACCCCCUACACUUGAUUUUUCGGAAAAACAAAAAAAAAACGUAUCCUCUACUCCUUUUUCCUCUUUCGAUCGCCGUUUGUUUCGUUAAAAUCUAUUGGAUUGUUUUUUUAAAAUAAAAGUUUUGUAAAUUUCAACCAUCAUAACUGUGAUUCUGUUUAUUUUUUUAUUAUCACACCAAUGGUUUUUUUCACCAUUGUUUACUCCGAAAAUGAUGCCGUUGGUCCUAUUCAAUUAUCCGAACUGCAAGAAUGCGAAACUUGAAAAACACCCCUUAGGACCCUCAACUUGGAGGGGUGGUUUCACCCCCAAGAUAUGUUUUUCCGCUGCUAGAAAAAAUACAUGUCCCUUAGAUUUUGACAGAGAAUAACAUAUCUCAGUUUCAUUCAAAUCGGAGAGGGACACUUGGGAUACCUUCCUUUGUGGCAGAUUUAAGUAUUUGCUUAGGAACGUCCUUACAAAUAAUUCCAAGUGCAAAUUUGCCCUUAUUCACUAAAAAAUAUGGAGGUCGUCUUGUGAUAUGCAACUUGCAACCAACUAAGCUUG